AUUGAACGCUGGCGGCAUGCCUUACACAUGCAAGUCGAACGGCAGCACGGGUGCUUGCCCCUGGUGGCGAGUGGCGAACGGGUGAGUAAUACAUCGGAACAUGUCCUGUAGUGGGGGAUAGCCCGGCGAAAGCCGGAUUAAUACCGCAUACGAUCUACGGAUGAAAGCGGGGGACCUUCGGGCCUCGCGCUAUAGGGUUGGCCGAUGGCUGAUUAGCUAGUUGGUGGGGUAAAGGCCUACCAAGGCGACGAUCAGUAGCUGGUCUGAGAGGGCGACCAGCCACACUGGGACUGAGACACGGCCCAGACUCCUACGGGAGGCAGCAGUGGGGAAUUUUGGACAAUGGGCGAAAGCCUGAUCCAGCAAUGCCGCGUGUGUGAAGAAGGCCUUCGGGUUGUAAAGCACUUUUGUCCGGAAAGAAAUCCUUGGCCCUAAUACGGUCGGGGGAUGACGGUACCGGAAGAAUAAGCACCGGCUAACUACGUG
rnacentral:rRNA from 1 species